rnacentral:lncRNA from 1 species
CCCGGUGUACUGGUUCCCGUUCUUCCACACGUACCUCCCCUUCCCGUCCUGCACAUUCCGCCGCCACGUCCCCUCGUACAAGUCCCCGUUGACGUAGCGCUUCUCGCCGUGGCCGUGUUUCCGAUCGGCGAUCCAGUGGCCUCGGUAGGUGUCUCCGUCGGCGCCGACGAAGGUCCCGAAGCCUUCCAUCCUCCCGGACUUGAACUCGCCCUCGUAGGUCGCGCCGCUCGGCCACGAGAACUUGCCUUUCCCGCUCGCCUUCCCGCGCUUCCACUCGCCUUCGUACAUACACCCGUCGUUCCACAGGUACUUCCCCGAUCCGUUCGGGAACCCGCCGGAGAAGGUGCCGGUGUAGAGAUCUCCGUUAGGUAGGGGCUUCUCGACGUCUGGCGGAGGUGGCGUGGGAGUCACGCGCUGGGUGGCUCCUUGGGAUUUGGAUCGCACCAUCGGAGUUAGCAACAAAUCGUCUCGUCUCUCCGCUUCGUCUCCUUCUAGAACGUUCUUCGGAACGACGCCGUUUCUGGUGGUUAGUAUAACUUGAGUAGCUUCGGGUACGACGCCGUUUGAGACUUUUGGUUCGCUCACGAGAGGCUCACACAUUAGAUAAACCCUCGCUUUCCACCGUUUUUCGAGAUCUUUGCAACGGCAUUCGAAAGAUUGUAGGUUAGAUCUGUCGGAGAACCAAACGGAUUUGGUCGUGGUGUAGAAACUUUUCUUUCUUUUUUUUCAAAUCUGAGAAGAAACCUUGGUGAGAGUUUUCUACAGACAAACGCUACAGAGAGGAAAAUGAAAAGGGAGAAUGAAGCAUCAAAAGCAAAAGGAUAAAGAUAGAGAGAGAAGAGAAGAGCAGAGAGAAACAAAAACCUUUACAAAUGAAUUAAUUUUAGGGGUAGAUUUGUAAAGUUCAGUGAGAUGGUGUUGGAAUAAGCAUUGGGAAGUGGACACAAAAAGCCCACCAGCCCGCCAAAAAAAGUCGCGUCGUUAUGACCAAUUUAUUGACUUGAGUGUAAUUACGGGAUUUGGGUAAGAUAAUAAUAUUAGACAGGAUGCAAUUACAUUUCACGUUUUUUAUUAGAAAAUUUUACACCAUAGAUAAUUGAUGAUUACAUGAAUAAUAUGACUAUAUGGCAGCAUUUUUAAAGUUCAAACUAGAUCCGUUCAUCCGCUUAGGUAUUGGUUCUUUAUAUUUUUAUAUAUUGAUAUUUAUUUUUCGUAAUUAAUCUUAUAUAUUUUAGUAAUAUAACUAACUAUAUUCAUAAAAUCUGGACCUAAUCGGAUAAUAUGGUUAUUUUGUUACAAGUAUCCGAAACUGUUUUAAAUACAUUUGUUAUUUAGAUUUUUUAUUAUACAUUAGAACCAAACUCAUUUAGACCCAGAAAGAUCCAACUUAAAACUCAAAAUCCACACAUAAAUUUAUAAUAUUCAAGUGUAGCCUAAUUUCAAAACAAAAAAAAACGAUACCCAAAAAAAAUAGCAUGUACCAAAAGAACUGGCUAAUGUUUAUGCCUAACUGGUUUUAUAAACUAAUAAAAAUACUUUUUCUAUUUGUUUGUCUAAAUUCAAUGAAAUAGAUAGAGUCUUUUAUGUUACAAAAAAAAAGAAGAUAGAGUCUUUUAUUUAGUAAAAUAAUUAUAUAGAGUGAAGAAUUAAGUGACAAUGAAUAUAACAUAUUUUUAUUAUUUUGAUUUAAGUUAUUAUUUUAUUCACAAAAAUAUGUCGUUCAAUUAUGUUUUUGGUUACAUAAUUUUCAACAUAUUGAAACUAAAAUUAAAAAAAAAAGUUUAAACUUAACGUUUAACCUUAUGCAAAAUCCAACUAUUUUAUAUUUUUGAUUUUAUAAUUGACACAAGAUAAUGUUGAUUAACUGAUAAAUAAAAAUUUGCAUUGUUAUUAUUAUGGUAAUAUAACUCAUGGUGUGAUUUAUUGUUAAUGUAAUAUAAUUAAUGAAAUUAUUAAAUUAAAUAAAAAAUAGAAAUAAAAUUAAAGUAAUUAUAUUAAUGAAAUUAUUAAAAUGACAUUAUAGUUCUUUUUUAUUCUACUAACAUGUUUCCAAAUAAUUUUCAUUUAUAUUGUUAUCCAUAUUUCUAAACAGUACCAAAAAUACUACAGUUUUAAUAAUAAACAAAAGAUGGUUCGCAUUUAGAAAACAAAUUCAAUUUUCUACCAAGUAAUAAACAAAAGCUGACUCCCAUUUAGAAAACAGAUUCAAUUUUCUACCAAGUAGAUGUGUUAUCAAGUUUGGUUUUAUUUUGGUUAUAGUAUAUAGUAUACCAUUAAGAAACACACAAAAAUGUUGUUAUUGAUUAUAGAUACUCCUUUUCAUGGUAAAAUACUAAUGUCUAAUGUUGAUUUUUUUUACAGAUUAAACAUAGUUAAUAACGUAACAUCUAUUUUUACCCAAAUGUAGCUUUAUAGUUCACUUGUGAAAUAACACACAUUCACAGGUCCAAGAACAUGUUCACCCAAAUGAGCACGCCGAGAUAACUGUUCUCUCGUCAACACAUAAUCAUUAUAUACAUAUGCGUUCCUGAGUGCGUGUGUAAAUAUGAAAAGUUCUUUUUAUUUCGGUUAAUCUCAUUGUACUAAAACCGUAGUUAAUUCGUAAUUGCCGUCGUCCACAAGUUUUCACCAUUGACAAACAAUAUAAUCAUUAAAGAUGUCCAAUCUUGAAACUACAAUAUGUUCGUUGGUUUAUUAUACGGUCACAUGUUCCCCUAAUCAAAAAUUGCUACGUACUGAUAGAGUAUUUCUUUCUAAAAUACAAUCUGCAAAGACUAAUAUAAGUUUUAAAAACUAGUGUCGGCGUGCCCUACGUUGUAUGGAUGUAAUGUGAUACCCACGUAAAAGACCAAAUGAUUAGUAAUGUUUAUCUCCUUCAUUUAAGAAACGAUAAUCAACAAUUAAAUACUAUUUUACCAAAACAACGACCAAUUAAAAGUUUAAAAGAAAAAAAAACAAUGACCAAUUAUCAAUUAAUUUUUUUUAUCAAUUAAUUAAUCGCAUCGCGAAUGGAAUGAAAUAACCUAAAAUGGCUGAUAAUGUUUGAUAAUUAUAUAAUGGAUUUUAAUGGCUGUGUGGUUUCAUCAUGUAAUUUUUCUUUUUCAUAAGUCGGUCAUCAGCAUUUAAAGUUUCAGUAGUACAAAAUCCAUAUUCAAGUUUGUAUCCUUGAUUUAUUAUUGUAAGACUUUAGCUCAAAGGGACAUUAAAAAAACUAGACGUGCCAUUGAGUAAUUAUGUGUACAUAAAGUAUAUACGAUAAUAUUUUAAAAAAAAACUCAAGGUAUUGAUUAUGCACCAACAGAACUUUGUAAAUUUUUUGUUUGACUAAAAACUUUAUACAUUUUGUUUUCAAAAGGAAAAUAAUAUUGUUCGAGAAACUAGCGUAAUGAAUAUCUAUAAUUUUCAUGAUAUUUAUAAUUAGAAAACGAUAUAUUUUCCCUUCGUAACUAUCAUAUAGCACUAUAUCCACCAAACUAUGACCUAGUCGUAGAUUUCCCUGAAUUUAAAAUAUAAAUUUAUUUCUUCAUAAAUUGAAAGAUGUAAACUUAUGUAUCCCUCGCUCAAUAGUUUGAAAAUUAAUUGCUCAUAAACCAUUAUUUUAGUUGGUUUAUUGUUAACAAAUAUUUUUUAACCAGCUAAACCAAAAUAAAAUCCAAUUUUAAAUAAAACCUGACCCGUAAAUGAAGAAGAAGAACAAGAGAGAAGUCGGGUCUGAUCAUUUACUGGUCGGGUUUUAUCAAAAUUGGAUUUUAUUUUGGUUUAAGUGGUUAAAAAAAUAUUUGGUUAACAAUAAACCAACUAAAUCAUGGUUUACCGACAAUUAAUUUUCAAACGAUUGAGUUAGUGAUAAAUAAGUUUACAUCUUUCAAUUCAUGAAAAAAUAAAGUUACAACUUUAGAUUCAGGGAGAUCUAACACUAAGUCAAAAUUUGGUGGAAAUCUAGCAUUCAGACUUCGAAUGGUGAACAUCGUCUCGCCCCGCACUUAACAGUAACAAAAAUCUCUACAUAUACUAUAUAUCUAUACACUUUUAUAACUGUUAAAACCGCACCGUAGUUGAACCGCUUGUCCCGCACCGCAAUCGCCAUUUGGAGCCUCAAUCGUAAAAGAGGUAAUAAAUAAAGAACUUCCCCGAAGUUAAUUCUGGAAUAAUUUUUUAAGGAAAAAAAAAACUUAAAAAUGAAGAAUAAGUUUGAAGAUUCUUAUAAUAGACAAUGCAUCCUUCUCACAAAUAAGAUUGGGAUCUCAUGCUGUCAGAUAGAGCUAUAUUGUUAAAUUAUUGAGUAGCUUGUUAUUGGUUAACUGCAUUUAAUGAGUAUUUUUAAAUUGUAAGAUAAUACUAAACCACAUCUUAAUAAUGCAUGACACUACUAAUUCUUCUCCCGUUAUAUAUUAAUCAAAUAUUAUUGCAUGUCCGAGCGACGUUGUAAGAAUUUUAUUUAAAAACAUUUUAUCGUAUUAGAUUUUGAUUCGCUAUGAUUCGGGAAAAAAAUUAUUAGAGACAGGUAUAACAAGAGACAAAUGACUCUAAUUGCGAAUACAAAAUAAUUGACUCUAAUUGCGAGUCAUCAUCUUUGUUUCGAUGAAUAGGGAGGCGAAGGUCCAAGCCACACAGUUGGAACGAAUCGAGCUGAGCUGGCACAUUUGCAUUUGAGACUAGGCUGUCACGGCCCACCUAAUAUCGUCGUCUACGAAGAAUCCAACGACAUAGACGGUGCCACGUGUUGAGAAAUUAAGCGGUUAAGAUUAGAACCACGUCAUUGAUAUCUAAUAGCAAAGUAACCCUCUGUCCCUGCCUGGCGUCAAAGAUCCUACGAAGAUUAUGUUUCUCUGAGUAAUCACGUGCAAUAGCUUUGUUCCGCACGUGCUACGGUCAUUGUUACACGGGCCCUCGUGACGGUUCCCGUUAGGCCAGAGGAGGACGCCUUUCCCGUUAAUCACGCCGUUACGCCACUCGCCGGUGUACUGGUUCCCGUUCUUCCACACGUACCUCCCCUUCCCGUCCUGCACAUUCCGCCGCCACGUCCCCUCGUACAAGUCCCCGUUGACGUAGCGCUUCUCGCCGUGGCCGUGUUUCCGAUCGGCGAUCCAGUGGCCUCGGUAGGUGUCUCCGUCGGCGCCGACGAAGGUCCCGAAGCCUUCCAUCCUCCCGGACUUGAACUCGCCCUCGUAGGUCGCGCCGCUCGGCCACGAGAACUUGCCUUUCCCGCUCGCCUUCCCGCGCUUCCACUCGCCUUCGUACAUACACCCGUCGUUCCACAGGUACUUCCCCGAUCCGUUCGGGAACCCGCCGGAGAAGGUGCCGGUGUAGAGAUCUCCGUUAGGUAGGGGCUUCUCGACGUCUGGCGGAGGUGGCGUGGGAGUCACGCGCUGGGUGGCUCCUUGGGAUUUGGAUCGCACCAUCGGAGUUAGCAACAAAUCGUCUCGUCUCUCCGCUUCGUCUCCUUCUAGAACGUUCUUCGGAACGACGCCGUUUCUGGUGGUUAGUAUAACUUGAGUAGCUUCGGGUACGACGCCGUUUGAGACUUUUGGUUCGCUCACGAGAGGCUCACACAUUAGAUAAACCCUCGCUUUCCACCGUUUUUCGAGAUCUUUGCAACGGCAUUCGAAAGAUUGUAGGUUAGAUCUGUCGGAGAACCAAACGGAUUUGGUCGUGGUGUAGAAACUUUUCUUUCUUUUUUUUCAAAUCUGAGAAGAAACCUUGGUGAGAGUUUUCUACAGACAAACGCUACAGAGAGGAAAAUGAAAAGGGAGAAUGAAGCAUCAAAAGCAAAAGGAUAAAGAUAGAGAGAGAAGAGAAGAGCAGAGAGAAACAAAAACCUUUACAAAUGAAUUAAUUUUAGGGGUAGAUUUGUAAAGUUCAGUGAGAUGGUGUUGGAAUAAGCAUUGGGAAGUGGACACAAAAAGCCCACCAGCCCGCCAAAAAAAGUCGCGUCGUUAUGACCAAUUUAUUGACUUGAGUGUAAUUACGGGAUUUGGGUAAGAUAAUAAUAUUAGACAGGAUGCAAUUACAUUUCACGUUUUUUAUUAGAAAAUUUUACACCAUAGAUAAUUGAUGAUUACAUGAAUAAUAUGACUAUAUGGCAGC